GGAGAGGUGGCCGAGUGGCUGAAGGCGCCCGCCUGCUAAGUGGGUAUUGGGUUCAUAGCCCAAUCGGGGGUUCGAAUCCCCUCCUCUCCU
rnacentral:tRNA from 1 species